rnacentral:rRNA from 1 species
GUGGGGAAUAUUGGGCAAUGGGCGAAAGCCUGACCCAGCAACGCCGCGUGAAGGAAGAAGGUUUUCGGAUCGUAAACUUCUAUCCUUGGUGAAGAUAAUGACGGUAGCCAAGAAGGAAGCCCCGGCUAACUACGUGCCAGCAGCCGCGGUAAUACGUAGGGGGCAAGCGUUGUCCGGAAUGAUUGGGCGUAAAGGGCGCGUAGGCGGCCCGGUAAGUCUGAAGUGAAAGUCCUGCUUUUAAGGUGGGAAUUGCUUUGGAUACUGUCGGGCUUGAGUGCAGGAGAGGUAAGCGGAAUUCCCGGUGUAGCGGUGAAAUGCGUAGAGAUCGGGAGGAACACCAGUGGCGAAGGCGACUUACUGGACUGUAACUGACGCUGAGGCGCGAAAGUGUGGGGAGCAAACAGGAUUAGAAACCCGGGUAGUCC